rnacentral:lncRNA from 1 species
UACAAGGGAAGCUAGGCCUGGUUGUAUGUGUUACAUGGUGAGCUAGGCCUGGUUGUGUGUGUUACAUAGUGAGCUAUGUCUGGUUAUGUGUGUUACCUGGUGAGCUAGGCCUGGUUUUGUGUGUUAGAUGAUGAGCUAGGCCUGGUUUUGUGUGUUAGAUGAUGAGCUAGACCUGGUUUUGUGUGUUAGAUGAUGAGCUAGGCCUUGUUGUGUGUGUUACAUGGUGAGCUAGGUCUGGUUGUGUGUGUUACAUGGUGAGCUAGGUCUGGUUGUGUGUGUAACACGGUGAGCUAUGUCUGGUUCUGUGUGUAACACGGUGAGCUAUGUCUAGUUGUAUGUGUAACACGGUGAGCUAGGUCUGGUUGUGUGUGUUACACGGUGAGCUAUGUCUAGUUGUAUGUGUAACACGGUUAGCUAGGUCUGAUUGUGUGUGUAACAUGAUGAGCUAGGUCUGGUUGUUUGUGUUACACGGUGAGCUAGGCCUGGUUGUGUGUGUAACACGGUGAGCUAGGUCUGGUUGUUUGUAUUACACGGUGAGCUAGGCCUGGUUGUGUGUGUAACACGGUGAGCUAGGUCUGGUUGUGUGUGUUACAUGAUGAGCUAUGUCUGGUUGUGUGUGUUACAUGAUGAGCAAUGUCUGGUUGUGUGUGUAACACGAUGAGCUAGGUCUGGUUGCGUGUGUUACACGGUGAGCUAGGUCUGGUUGUGUGUGUAACAUGAUGAGCUAUGUCUGGUUGUGUGUGUUACAUGAUGAGCAAGGUCUGGUUGUGUGUUACAUGAUGAGCUAAGCCUAGUUGCAUGUUACAUGGUGAGCUUGGCCUGUAUAUGUGUAAUGGCCAGGGUGUAGGCUCAUACAUUGUAUAGAAUCCUCUUUGUCAUGGUAUCUCCAACAUAUACCCCUCUUAUACCUCCAAGAAUGCUGACAUAUAUUGUUGAAAACAUUGAACCAUUUAUGGUUAAGUAUUGAUUUCAAGUACCUUUUUUUUUAAAUCUAUAGAAUUUAACUAUUUUAAUACUUGAUUCUAACAUUUUCAUUCUCUGCUGAAGAAUAAAAGUAUUGAUUGUAUUCAAAUUGUGUGAAAGAUUUUAGUUUAUUGUGAUUUUAUUCAGAAGUUGUUUUAUGAGAGCUUCAUUAAAGGUGCCGUGCCCUUAUACACUAAAUAUCAUUGUGUAGGUUAAGUUAUGUCUACAGCAGUGGUUCCCUGAUCUGGACUGAGAGUCACAGGGUACUGAAGUAUUGUAUACUAAAGUCAGUGUUUCCUAUAAUAAAUGUGAUGGGGAAGACAGUGUUCAGUACAAUCACAAAGGUGUUUAAUGUCUUUUGUUCUAGCUAGUGGAUACGUGUCCUAACUACAAGGUUUACUUAAGGAUAAGGAGAUCCAAUAGGUAGGAACCCUAGUGGAUACGUGUCCUAACUACAAGGUUUACUUAAGGAUAAGGAAAUCCAGUAGGUAGGAACCCUAGUGGAUACGUGUCCUAACUACAAGGUUUACCUAAGGAUAAGGAGAUCAAGUAGGUAGGAACCCUAGUGGAUACGUGUCCUAACUACAAGGUUUACUUAAGGAUAAGGAGAUCCAGUAGGUAGGAACCCUAGUGGAUACGUGUCCUAACUACAAGGUUUACUUAAGGAUAAGGAGAUCCAGUAGGUAGGAACCCUAGUGGAUACGUGUCCUAACUACAAGGUUUACUUAAGGAUAAGGAGAUCCAGUAGGUAGGAACCCUAGUGGAUACGUGUCCUAACUACAAGGUUUACUUAAGGAUAAGGAGAUCCAGUAGGUAGGAACCCUAGUGGAUACGUGUCCUAACUACAAGGUUUACUUAAGGAUAAGGAGAUCCAGUAGGUAGGAACCCUAGUGGAUACGUGUCCUAACUACAAGGUUUACUUAAGGAUAAGGAGAUCCAGUAGGUAGGAACCCUAGUGGAUACGUGUCCUAACUACAAGGUUUACUUAAGGAUAAGGAGAUCCAGUAGGUAGGAACCCUAGUGGAUACGUGUCCUAACUACAAGGUUUACUUAAGGAUAAGGAGAUCCAGUAGGUAGGAACCCUAGUGGAUACGUGUCCUAACUACAAGGUUUACUUAAGGAUAAGGAGAUCCAGUAGGUAGGAACCCUAGUGGAUACGUGUCCUAACUACAAGGUUUACUUAAGGAUAAGGAGAUCCAGUAGGUAGGAACCCUAGUGGAUACGUGUCCUAACUACAAGGUUUACUUAAGGAUAAGGAGAUCCAGUAGGUAGGAACCCUAGUGGAUACGUGUCCUAACUACAAGGUUUACUUAAGGAUAAGGAGAUCCAGUAGGUAGGAACCCUAGUGGAUACGUGUCCUAACUACAAGGUUUACUUAAGGAUAAGGAGAUCCAGUAGGUAGGAACCCUAGUGGAUACGUGUCCUAACUACAAGGUUUACUUAAGGAUAAGGAGAUCCAGUAGGUAGGAACCCUAGUGGAUACGUGUCCUAACUACAAGGUUUACUUAAGGAUAAGGAGAUCCAGUAGGUAGGAACCCUAGUGGAUACGUGUCCUAACUACAAGGUUUACUUAAGGAUAAGGAGAUCCAGUAGGUAGGAACCCUAGUGGAUACGUGUCCUAACUACAAGGUUUACUUAAGGAUAAGGAGAUCCAGUAGGUAGGAACCCUAGUGGAUACGUGUCCUAACUACAAGGUUUACUUAAGGAUAAGGAGAUCCAGUAGGUAGGAACCCUAGUGGAUACGUGUCCUAACUACAAGGUUUACUUAAGGAUAAGGAGAUCCAGUAGGUAGGAACCCUAGUGGAUACGUGUCCUAACUACAAGGUUUACUUAAGGAUAAGGAGAUCCAGUAGGUAGGAACCCUAGUGGAUACGUGUCCUAACUACAAGGUUUACUUAAGGAUAAGGAGAUCCAGUAGGUAGGAACCCUAGUGGAUACGUGUCCUAACUACAAGGUUUACUUAAGGAUAAGGAGAUCCAGUAGGUAGGAACCCUAGUGGAUACGUGUCCUAACUACAAGGUUUACUUAAGGAUAAGGAGAUCCAGUAGGUAGGAACCCUAGUGGAUACGUGUCCUAACUACAAGGUUUACUUAAGGAUAAGGAGAUCCAGUAGGUAGGAACCCUAGUGGAUACGUGUCCUAACUACAAGGUUUACUUAAGGAUAAGGAGAUCCAGUAGGUAGGAACCCUAGUGGAUACGUGUCCUAACUACAAGGUUUACUUAAGGAUAAGGAGAUCCAGUAGGUAGGAACCCUAGUGGAUACGUGUCCUAACUACAAGGGUUACUUAAGGAUAAGGAGAUCCAGUAGGUAGGAACCCUUCUGUUUGUCGUCAGCCAAAAGAAGUCCUGUACUUUUAUAAUCAUGUUCAUUGUAUUUAUAGCGACAAAUUCUAAAAAAACAGCAAUUUAAAUGAGAAAGAUGAUCAAUAGUUUUGUCAAGUAUGGUACAAAAUUUUACUAUGACCCAUAGUCAGCUUUUAAACUAUCUUGACACAACUUUGCUGUGGUCAUCUUGAACUUUCUGAACACCUGAAUGGUGACCUUGAUAGCAAUGUCAUCGUCUAUUUAGGUUUUUGUCACUAGUUGUGAUUUACACAAGAUAGGAUUGUAAUAUAAGUUUAUAUGUUUGUUGUGUCCAUAGAUACACAAACAGGAAACCUCUAGUUUUAUGUAUGUUUUACAUAAACAAGUUAAGGCCCAUUAUUUUGUCACUUGUUACCUAAGAUACUCGUUAUCUACAAUGUGUUUUGGGGGAUACCAAUCAACAUGCUUUACAAAGUCACAAAGAGGACAUGACUGUAAUAUCUUAUAUAGGUUGAGUGCUGCUGAAGUUUAGAAACAUAUUUUUGUGCUAAUGAACAUGCAAAAUACAAAAACCUUUAUUUAUUUUGAAUGUCAGAAUAAUGUAUUAUUCUUUAAAUAUUUAUUGUGGAGAGAUAUAUAGUAAGGGUGGUUGUCAUACACUGGUUGUUACAGCCCUAACUGUCAGUGGAGCCAGGUGUCAUAGCUCUUAAUUAGCCAUUUCAUACUGUAUACUGUAUCCUGAGAAAUGUUUCUGUACUUUAAUUUUUACAUUUUCAUCCUCUAUAACGAUGGUAAAUGUAUGUGACCUACCAUAUAUAUAAGUACAUGUAUAGGAGACAAUAGAAUAUAAAUUUUACAGAUGAAAAGUAAAUAUUUCAAUGGGCGAGAUUUCUCAGUAUACAGUGUAGCCAUGUGACUUUUGGUUUCAAUUUGCAUAUCUUCAGACUUUCUAAAAGAAACUUAGAGUGUUGUGAUAUUUUUAUUUGUCAGUCUGUUUUGUGGUAGGAAUUUUUCCCAUGACUAAUUGUGGUGCAUUAUGGUAGAUUCGGUCCCUGAUGGUGCUUGGACCUCUCACAAAAAUUCAGAGUCACAGAGAAGUCAAGGUUUUCCACUCAAGUGUGCUUAAUAUGUAUAACAUUGUAAAGUCUAUGAUGGUAUAAUAUCAGAAAUGUUACAUUGAUGUUUCUGUUGGUAGUUAUGUUAAUCUGUACAAGUAAUCUCGGAUGGUCCAGAUUUGUAGAAGUGUGAGUAUUGGGCCAGAUUUCUGGUCUCUACAAGUCCCUAGGACAAUAUGUCUGCUUGUGAUGGUAACUUUAUGGGUCAGUGACACAAUUUACACAUUGAGAGUCUUAUUGGGGCCUGUAACCUUUAUACAUAUAACAAAUAUAGCUUUGUCAUUUAUUUGUUGCAGUUACGACACUAAAUAAAGUUAUGGAACU